CGACUUCACCCAAUCAAGAAGCAGCAGAAAAUACUUCAGCCUAAGGAGGGACCCGAAGCUUUUACUAUCUUCAGCUGUAGAUCUAAGUCAAGAAUAAAGGCGUGGCUGGGUUUGGGCAGUGGCAUGCAAAGUAGAAAGGAGAGGGCUAAGAGGGGGCAAGGGAAGGAAGAGAGAUUGGCAAGUAGGAAAUUCUGCUCUUGCCUGCUUGCAGUCUAAAGGGAAUCAAGGUUGGGAAGCUGUCAGGGACUUGCCUGUAACCCCAGUACCGGGGAGGUGGGAACCUAGGAAGGUAAAGAGUUAAAUGCCAGUCUGGGCUAUCUAUGCACUGAGAUCCUGCCUCAAAGCUGAGUGUGUUGGGCCACGGCACCUGAAGAAGAGCUUGACCAGGUGGUCAUCGAGAGGGGACUGAAGUGGAAGCUAGUCAGCUGAGACAGAAAGGGAAGGCCUGAGACAGCGGGCAGGUGGCUAGCUAGUGCUCGGCUUUGGAGCGCAGCUAGCAUGGGAAGACUUAGCUUUCAACUGGAACAGAAAGCCUAAUUCAGAAACGUGUCACCAAAAACUUUUCCUAGAAGCCCUCUGAGCCCACAGACUUGACCUGUCCUCUCCUAGCAAGAACUGGGCCCCACAUCCAUGCCUAAAGCAGAACAGGUAAGACGCAACCACGUGGGCCGCCAGGGAUGAAUCCCUGAGUCACACUGGAGAAGGAGAAACAGCAGAAAGACAGUGCGACAUCUUAGGUUCAGCUCUUGGCCCCUGUUUCCGACCCAGCACUAGUUCCUGCUGGUGAGGUCUUUUGGAGAUACCAGAAAUCCCCGACAGCCCGAAACGUCACUUUAGAGCUUUCUCCUUGAGCUGGAGGUAAUGGUAUCGGCUCCUGCACACUUGAGGAGGUAUUCUUUGCGGGGGAGGGGCAGUCAGCCCCAUGGAUCCAAGUCUGGGUGCCAGCCUGGAGGGUGAAGAAAACCCAGAGCAAAGGCCUUUUUGAGCUCGUGGAGAUACUGCCCUCAACUGGCAGGCUGAGGAAGACCUUCAGGGCCAGCCUGGAGCCAGUUUGCAAAGGAGGCUGUUUUUAAUCUUGGAGGACCUGGGAAGGGAUCCCUACUCAAUCUGGGACUUGUCGGACGAAAAUGUCCAGCUUCGUUCUGGACCAGAAAUUUAUAGUUGGCUUGAGAAGAAAGGGGAGCUUAAGGGAGGUCGCACAAGCACACUGCCUCACAGACGCUGCACUCCAAGGCCACUGGCACAGGGUUCCCCGCGCACAGGCUUCUUCCUUGAGGGACUGCGCUCCGGGCACAUCAAGGAGACAGCAGCUGAACAGAGCUCCGGGCCAAGCUCAGCCGUUCCCAGACUGGAGAGAAGUGCCCAGUCUCCUCACUGCUGAUGGCUGAAGAUGGGCAAAGUUUUGUCAGAUCCUGGCUAGCAGUCUGGUCCUUGGGUCCCUGGCAGCACUUAUCCACGCCUGGGAAAGGAAGCAAGACAUAGUACGGGGGCAAUGCCCUAGGGACCCAUAGCUGUGCAGGGUUAAAUCUCAUUAGAGUCUGCUCCCCCAAAAAUCUCACAUUGAACCAGAGACUGUGAGGAGUGUGCACCCCCCUCCUCUUCACCCUCCACCCCCAAUACCACUAGACUUUUCUGUACAGCCCUCUGGGAUAGGGCCAUCCUUUUCUCCUCUUGGAACAAAAAGAUAGUGUCCUUAGCCCUAGGGCAUUGACUUGAAGUUGAAAGUAUAACCUAAAAACAAAAUUCUAGGCCUUUAGGCCCAGGCUUGGGAAUAUGACCUCUGUGCCUCAUUGCUCCAAGGUAUGCUAAUCAUAAAACAGAUAGCGACAUUCCUCCACCCACCCCCUUCCUAGGUUCAAAGAGUGUUCAUUCAAAGAAAGUCACCCUGACCAUUGCCGGAACCCGCUAUGCAAAUGUGCUAUUGUUAGGGGCUCUUAGAAACUGUCUUGAGAGAUAACCUGCACAAUUACCAGGUAUUCCUUUCGACUCUUGUGACUUUGCACUUCCUUGGGACUCUUAACUGGUAUCGCCCUCCCACUUCCUGAGUUGUGGUUUCUUCCUUUAAAUACCCCCUUACUCAGCUACUGGGGCGCCACGGUCCUCUACCCCUGCGUGGUGUAUGACUGUGGGCCUGAGAGCGCUCUUGAAUAAAAAUCCUCUUGCAGUUUGCA